AUACGUAGGGUGCGAGCGUUGUCCGGAAUUACUGGGCGUAAAGAGCUCGUAGGUGGUUUGUCGCGUCGUCUGUGAAAUUCCGGGGCUUAACUCCGGGCGUGCAGGCGAUACGGGCAUAACUUGAGUACUGUAGGGGAGACUGGAAUUCCUGGUGUAGCGGUGAAAUGCGCAGAUAUCAGGAGGAACACCGGUGGCGAAGGCGGGCAUCUGGGCAGUAACUGACGCUGAGGAGCGAAAGCAUGGGUAGCGAACAGGAUUAGAUACCCUGGUAGUCCAUGCCGUAAACGGUGGGCGCUAGGUGUAGGGGUCUUCCACGACUUCUGUGCCGUAGCUAACGCAUUAAGCGCCCCGCCUGGGGAGUACGGCCGCAAGGCUAAAACUCAAAUGAAUUGACGGGG
rnacentral:rRNA from 1 species